UUGGAGCCAGCUGAUAAUGGACUGAAAGCUCUACAAACUAGGCUGGAAAAUUCAAGAUCAAGAUGCUGGCAGAUUCAGUUCCUGGUUCAUAUCUUCCUGUGUCCUCCUCACCUGGUGAAAGGGGUACCAUUUGUUCUGCGGCUCUUCAGCAGUGAACCAGUUACAAGACCAAACGUGUUAUGUGAGUCUAAAAUACAAUGGUGAGAAAAACAGGGUGGACAUUCCCUUUCCCAUAGAACUAGAAGUUCCCAUAGAACUUGAAGCUCUCAAGUCCAAAUUAAUAUUCCUAUUUGUCUUCAUAUCUUAGGAAUCUUUCACCUUUUGCCAAAUUACUCCAAAAUACAAGGCAAAUCACUUAAGCUCUUAAGACUUGAGAAUAAUCUUGAGGUCUUGGAUUUAUUGCGGUGAAGGUCCUGCCCUGCUGCUCUGCUAGGAAAGGGUUUUGUCCCCAGGCUGUGUCAGGUAGUCCUGCCCCUACACUUUGGGCAGAGGCUGGCUGGCUGGUUGGCCAGUUAAAAACAAGGCAAUGGUCCCUCCUUUUGACACUAGGGAGAUGUAAGAGUUCCUUGUGCUGCAUGGAGUUACUGUUGGAUCAGGCACUCUUCUUUCCCAUCUCCACUGCCCUUCCCCUGAGAAAUAAUGCAGAUCAGUUUGUCUAGGGCGAGUCUCUUCCCUGUGGCUGACCAGAUUCCACCAUUCUCGAGUGACCCGGUCUUCCAUCUCCAGGAUGGUGAGUUUACCCCUCGUGAUCCUUCAGGGUCUGACCACCCGUGUUUCGCAUUUUGUAUUCCCUCUGACUUACCCUAGCACCAGAUUCUUAAAAACUUGUCCAGAUUUAAUCCUCUAACUCUCAACGAAUAACUGAAAAAGUUUGAAUCCCAUUCUGCCCAGCUUUCUGCCCUUAGGAGAGGGCUGGAAACUAGGGAAUAUCUCCACUCCCCCUUUUCAUCUCCCCUUCCCUCAGGAAUGCUGCUAGGACUGGGCAGGCUGAUUGGUUUAGGCGAGGGCCAUUACAGCAAAAAUGAUUUCAGUGAUGGAAGAGCAAACAUCCCUGGAGACGCUCAUGAGUUUGAUAACAGUUUUAAACAAAAGUGGAUCACGAGGAUCACAAGGAAGAAAGUGCCAGCACGAACAGCCCAGUUUUGGCCACUUCCUCGAGUAUCUCCAGCUUGCCACUGCUGGAGCUGGACAGGGUCAAACCUAAGAGAUGUCUUAGGUAAAGAGUGAAAAACAAGCGGGGAUAAGCAGGGACCCCUCUGUUCCUCUCGUCUCUUUUCAUAAGGAGGAAAAAACUGUUGUGGGUGGACAUUUGCAGCAAGGAGGUUGAUACCUUGGCAGACCUUCAACUUGCCCCACCCUUUGAAAUACUAUACAUACUCAGUAAGCUCCAAUAAAGUGCCUUGUCUCUUUCUAUCUGGCCUGGGCAUCUCCUGAGAAAUAAAAUAGUUGCCAAAAGAAAGUGUAUAAAUGACAACACUGCACCUUUAACAAUCUGUCCCUGUACAGGUAACAUUUACAUAUGGCUAUCUAAAGCAGGGGCUAUCAGAAGAAGAGUUUACUAUAGUAACUAUCACAGAGCCUAGUGUUCUUCUUAAAACAUUCCUGAGGCAUGACAUGGUGGCACAAACCUGUAAUCUCAGCACUUGAAGGCUGAGGCAGGAGGAUCGCUGCAAGUUCAA